rnacentral:rRNA from 1 species
UGGGGAAUUGUUCGCAAUGGGCGAAAGCCUGACGACGCAACGCCGCGUGGAGGAUGAAGGUCUUCGGAUUGUAAACUCCUGUUGAUCGGGACGAAUACCUUUCCGGCGAAUACCCGGGAAGGCUGACGGUACCGGUUGAGGAAGCCCCGGCUAACUCUGUGCCAGCAGCCGCGGUAAUACAGAGGGGGCAAGCGUUGUUCGGAAUUACUGGGCGUAAAGGGCGCGUAGGCGGCCGCUUAGGUCAGACGUGAAAUCCCUUGGCUCAACCAAGGAACUGCGUCUGAUACUGAGUGGCUCGAGUCCGGGAGAGGGAAGCGGAAUUCCAGGUGUAGCGGUGAAAUGCGUAGAUAUCUGGAGGAACACCGGUGGCGAAGGCGGCUUCCUGGACCGGUUACUGACGCUGAGGCGCGAAAGCCAGGGGAGCAAACGGGAUUAGAUACCCGAGUAG